rnacentral:rRNA from 1 species
GACGAACGCUGGCGGCGUGCCUAACACAUGCAAGUCGAACGGAAAGGCCCUGCUUUUGGGCGGUGCUCGAUGGGCGAACGGGUGAGGAACACGUGAGUAACCUGCACUUGACGUUGGGUUAACUUCAGGAAACUGGGGCCAUUACCGGAUAGGAGCUCUUGCUGCAUGGUGGGGGUUGGUAAGAUUCGGUGGUUGGGGAUGGUCUCGCGGCUGAUCGGCUUGGUGGUGGGGUAGGGGCUUACCAAGGCUUGGACGGGUAGGCGGGCUGGGAGGGGGGGCUGCCCCGAUAGGGCUGGGGUACGGCCCAGCCCGCAACGCGAGGCAGCGGUGGGGAAUAUUGCACAGUGGGCGGAAGCCUGAUGCGGCGACGCCGCGUGCGGGAUGACGGCCUUCGGGUUGUAAACCGAUUUCGCCUGUGCCGAAGCGUGAGUGACGGUAAUGGGUAAAGAAGCCCCGGCUAACUACGUG